GAGCGGCCAUCCCUUCGUGGGAUGGUAAGCGGCGGACGGGUGAGUACACGUAUGCAAUCUGCCCGUAAGAUCGGGAUAACUACCGUGAAACUGUAGCUAAGACCGGAUAGCUGGUUUCCCCGCAUGGGGGAAUCAUGAAACACGGCGCAAGCUGUGGCUUACGGAUGGGCCUGCGGCGCAUUAGCUGGUUGGUGGGGUAACGGCCUACCAAUGCGACGAUGCGUAUCCGACCUGAGAGGGUGAACGGUCACUCUGGGACUGAUACACUGUCCAUACUCCUACGGGAGGCAGCAGUAUGGAAUCUUCCGCAAUGGACGCAAGUCUGACGGAUCAUCGCCGCGUGAGUGAGGAAGGCCUUCGGGUCGUAAAGCUCUGUUGCCCUAGACGAACGCCUGGUGGAGUAACUGCCAUCAUGGUGACGGUAUAUGAGACUAAAGCCCCGGCUAACUACGUGCCAUCAGCCGCGAUAAU
rnacentral:rRNA from 1 species